rnacentral:rRNA from 1 species
UACGUAGGGACCGAGCGUUGUCCGGAUUCAUUGGGCGUAAAGAGCUCGUAGGCGGCCACUCAAGUCGAAUGUGAAACCUCGAGGCUUAACCUCGAGCCUGCAUUCGAUACUGGGCGGCUAGAGUCUGGUAGGGGGAUCUGGAAUUCCUGGUGUAGCGGUGGAAUGCGCAGAUAUCAGGAGGAACACCGGUGGCGAAGGCGGGAUCCUGGGCCAGUACUGACACUGAGGAGCGAAAGCCAGGGGAGCAAACGGG